rnacentral:rRNA from 1 species
GUAGGGAAUAUUGGGCAAUGGGCGAGAGCCUGACCCAGCCAUGCCGCGUGCAGGAAGAAGGCUUUCUGAGUCGUAAACUGCUUUUGACAGGGAAGAAUAAGCUUGACGUGUCAAGUGAUGACGGUACCUGCAGAAUAAGCACCGGCUAACUCCGUGCCAGCAGCCGCGGUAAUACGGAGGGUGCGAGCGUUGUCCGGAUUUAUUGGGUUUAAAGGGUGCGUAGGCGGCUUUUUAAGUCUGGGGUGAAAGCCCGCUGCUCAACAGCGGAACUGCCCUGGAUACUGGAGAGCUUGAGUACAGACGAGGUUGGCGGAAUGGGCAGAGUAGCGGUGAAAUGCAUAGAUACUGUCCAGAACCCCGAUUGCGAAGGCAGCUGACUAGGCUGUUACUGACGCUGAGGCACGAAAGCGUGGGGAGCGAACAGG